GUCUAUCUCCUUCUGCAGGGCCCCUGGCCUUCCUCCCUGGGACAAGGCCGCCAUGUUGUCUACAGGGAAGAGAGAAAGCGUUUCUGAGAAAUGAGGUUCGAGCAGAGACUUGAAGGGAAUUCUGAGGAAGAAUUUCUGAGGUGCAGGACCAGCAAUGGCCAAUCCUGCCCCGACAGUGACAGGAGUCAGAGAACUGGGAAGUCGAAGGAAUGUGGUAAGCAGUUCCACGCCUAUGUAUACUUCUGCCAUGAUUGGCUGCCUCAUUAUAGAUCUCCAUCCAGUCAUAGACUACAAUCUCCAAGGCUGAGCGCCAAGCCAGCUUUCUCUUCAUACGCGUAGGAUGUCAGAUGUUUUGUUAUAGGAUGGAAAGCUAACUGAGAGCAUUACCUUCUGACUAAGGGCAUCCAUCAGGCUUGCUGAAUUCCUUGACUCUAGGGUCUAUCUGCUCCAACCCCCUAUUACACUGCUGCCAGAACCUUUCCCCCUGAAAUACCUCAGCUACAAGAGCAUCCUUCAAAAACCUGACGCUGGGUGUGACAGGAACUUGACAGAUUCAACACAGACAAGCUGUCACUAAGUUCUGCAGUGUCUCCUAAAAGUGGGACCUAGCCUUUAGUUCGCAGCUUGUUGGAAGUCAAGAGGUACCUCAGGAAGUGUGAGGGGACCUAGAGUUGUGCUCAGGGAGCACUCUCUUUUGAAUCCACCCCCUUGAAGGACCAAUCUCUGGGGGAUUAUGGUAAAAAUUUAGCCACUACCUGUAUACCAAGCAAGCAUCAGUUUUGUAAGUCCUUCUCAAAAAUGCUCAAGAGGACCAGCAGUUGCCUAGCAUAACGGUUGAUCUUGGUUGUCGACUUUACAUCUGGAUUCUCUUAAAACCCAAGCAACUGGGCAAAAGCCUGAAAAGGGAUACUCUUGAUUAAAGCCUUGGAGGUGGGAAGACCAACCCUAAAUCUGGGCCACGCCUCACCUCCUGGUAGCAGCCCACGUGAAAGAAGGUGGAAAAAGGAAGCCUUUGCUCUUUUCCUGCUUGCCUUCAUUCCCACUGGCAAGGUCAUCUGCCCUGCUGCUGUGGCAUUCCGUCCUAGUGAGCUCCAUAGUGACAGAAGUGAUGUCACAUUUAUCUCUAACCCCCACAAUGUAGCAGUGUUUGUUAAAUGAGUGAGUUAGAGAAUAGAUGGAUUAAAAUGUGGAUGUGGGCAUUCUCCGCUAUGCCACGCUACUGCACCAUGCUAUUGGGAGCUGUGGAUGCAGGGCAGAAAAGAACAUUGGUGGAGGGGUCCGAGUGGAGAAUUCAGAGAUGGCCUUGAGCCUGGCAUGCCUGGAUCACUUAACAAAGUGACUCCCAGAAGAGCCAAAGCAGGGAUGCUGAGCCCCGCAGGAGCAACUGCAGAGCAAGACUCUGGGGGACCCCUGGAGGAUGGAAUCUGAGAGGAGAGACACUGAGAUGUGGCUCUUGUUCCUGGGCAUUGCUUUCAUGGACUCCCAGCCUUCAAUCCCUGGACCAUGGCUGCAAGUGACUUGAUCUCCUUUCUCAGAACUUCUGAAAACCUGUGAGCUGUAGAACGGACCACACUGCUGGACAUCAGAGGGGAAGAAAGCAUGUGUGGGGAAUAAAGUCACCAUUUCUCCAGGGGAAGCCCAUACUCCUAAAGCUACUCCAUGCCAUCUCUGAACACCCAUCUCGCACACGCUGGUAGAGGAGUGGCCUUCGGCUUAGAUCUCUAACAGCUGCUAUCAUGGACACUGUUUUCCAUGCUACUGUGCGAUGCUAGAUGGCCACUGUGUAGAGAGAGAGCUCUCUUAUGUGCUUGGCUGGCGGACUCAUUAGCAAUCUGCUUCUACUUUCCAGCCCCGGGAAUAUGGGUGAGUUUCUCUUCUCUCCUGCUGUGACAUCAUCUUCCUUUCUCACCGGAAUUUGCCAUGUGCUUGCCAGAGUUGGUUAUGAAACCCAUCUGAAUUCUCUCCUGUGGCUGGAAUUCCAAGAACUUUCUUACAUAUUGCUCAAGCCCUGUGCUCCCAGAAUGUAACAUAAGUUCUGUGUUACAGACUUAGAAGCAAACAGUAAAUGACCCCUCAGAGACGGGUUUGUUUUCAAAAAGUGUCUCAGGUAUUUCAGAGUCCCCUGCCUUAAAGACACAUCUUGAUAUCUGAUACCCUGAAUUCACAUAAUCGUUGAUCCAGUGUUCAGAAAGGAAUUAGAACCGAUUUUUCAUGUAUGUGGGGCUAGGAAUCAAACUCAAGUAUUAGUAAGGUUCUUUAAAAGAACAGAACUGAUAGAGUACACACAUAUGAGUUUAUCAGCUUGGCUUAUAGGCUAUGGACUGGAUAAUCAACAAUGCCUGUCUUCCAACAGGAAGGCUAAGAAUCCUAUUGUUGUUAAGUCACAAAACUGGUGUCUAAGAAGUUCUGGAGCUCAGAGGAUUGCUAGAGAGUGGUUGGUUUUCAUUCUAUACUGAGACCCAAAGAAGGAAAUGAUAGGGAUUUCUUGCAAAACGAAAAGGGAGGAUAUAUAUAUAAUCUGCCUACAAUUUAAGCAGAGGAAUGACAAUAAUCUGAUUUG
rnacentral:lncRNA from 1 species